rnacentral:rRNA from 1 species
UACGUAGGGUGCGAGCGUUAAUCGGAAUUACUGGGCGUAAAGCGUGCGCAGGCGGUUUUGUAAGCCAGAUGUGAAAUCCCCGGGCUUAACCUGGGAAUGGCAUUUGGGACUGCAAGGCUCGAGUGCGGCAGAGGAGACUGGAAUUCCUGGUGUAGCAGUGAAAUGCGUAGAUAUCGGGAGGAAUACCGAUGGCGAAGGCAGGUCUCUGGGCUGACACUGACGCUCAUGCACGAAAGCGUGGGGAGCAAACAGG